GGGGCGCUGAAUUAUUCGAGUUAGUACAUGGAGGAAAGGUCUGUUUCAAAUGUUAUUCAAAGAUUAGGAGCGACGAUUCAAUGUCCGUUUGUGUAUUGUAUUUGUCGUGGUUGAAACGGCACCAGGAACAUAUCAGGAUAGACAACAGAAGUCUGUAAGUAUCUAUUUUAUGUAUUUAUAUAUAUUAACAUAGAUAUUAUAAGCCUUUCAUGCCUUCUGUUGACAAAUUUUCAUAACUAUGCACUGUUUUAGUAACACAGAUGUCCUUUUCGAAAAAAGAAAAACACACCUCAGUCGAAUCUUUCUUCUCAAAUGAAUGCCUGAAUGGUCAUCAAAUUUAAUACUUGUUAUGGGCAGGCAUUUUCGAAUAAUUUAAAAAAAAAAUGUAUUAAUUCUGACUGCAAGGAAUUUUAAAUGGUAAAUAAUAUACAUUGUAUCUCGAGGGAAAUGUACACACUUUAACAACAGUAAAUUUUUCAUAAAUAUUAUAUAUAUAGUAAAAGUGUAGCAUAUACAUGAUAUAUAUCAUGUGUAUUAACGAUUAAACUCUGGAAGAAAUAUAGUCCAGCAUGAAUACAAAUUAAAGGGUUUUUUUCUCAGAAAGGUAUCUCUUUCUUCAGAGGUUUAUAUGAAACGUUGAUGUCUGUUGUGCAGUGAUGUUUUUUUCUUCUCCGACGCCUGUAUGCGAGACAUGGUAGGUAUUGCAACCCAGCGCCAACGCGAGCGAGAUGGUGUACACUCAUUGUUUGAAGCAUUAUAUUUCUUAAGUUAGACAAUCUAAAUGCUUCAUACCUUAUGUUACGAAAUUUCCGUCUGUCAUAUGUCAUUGUCCCGGCAACCUUAUUUUCAUGGUUCAGUAAACUGCUUGAUACAUUUUGUUUUGUUAAAUGAAAAACUCACUUAUUAUGAGUAAUAUGAUAACUAUGUUUGGUAUAUGGGUUCCUAGCAACAUUUACAUGUUCGUCAGCUAGGUACAUGUAGGGUUAACCUGACCUCGACCUUAUUCCAUGGAUCAUGUAUCAAAGAUAAAGUAACUUAAGCAAGACCGUAUCUAGAUACUAUAACUAGUCAGUCAUCUAUAUUUGGUGUAUUGAUUAUUGAAAUGAUUGUAAGGUGUACAUAUCCACCCGAUAGGUUCCGUCUGACUUUGGCCUCAAUUUCAUGGUUCAUUGGUCAAUGUAUAGUGUUUGUGGUUUGGUCUAUUUCUCAAAUGUAUUAAGCAGUAGGGUCAAUAUAUAAUGUGUAUCAUGUUUGGAAUCAUUGUCAGUUGGAAAUGUCGGUCUGACAGGUCUCAAUUGACUUCGACCUCAUUUUUAUGGUUCAUUGAACAAUGUUUAGUUGUGUGGUUGGGUCAAUUUUUCGGGCAUUAUAAGCCAUAGGUCAAUAAUAUGUAGUGUAUGAAACAACUAUGACAACUGUGGUGUCAUGUCUAUCUGUCGGGGUUAACAUGACCUUAACCUAAUUGUUUGAUGAAAGAUGUUGUAUAAAGAUCUGAUUCUCAGGUACUAUUAGCAACACCAGAACACACCCACAAAAUCGCGGUCAUAUACAGCAUGUGAACUUUUUUCAAAGUCCGAUAUUUGUUUCCUUUCUGUUAAAUUCAAUAGUUUUUGUGUCUCUGGUCUCAGACCACAAUUAUUCUUCUCCUUUGCUACAAUGCAUCUUUUGGUAAAAGUCAAAUUAAAUCAAAAAUUUGCACCGCUUCAAACAUGAAAUAAAUGUAACUGCUUAUAUAUAGACCUUAUUAGUCUAAUAAAAUAUGCUUCUAGGACAAUCCAUCAGUGCUUUUUCUUUUGAGGGCAUUAUUAACAUGCCAAUGGUAGGAUAUGAAUCUUGUAUAUAUGACUAGCCGACUAAGGGUAAUUUGAGGGGAGGUCGGAAGGGUCCUGAUCCCGAAAUCCCGGGCUUAAAAACAUGAAAUCCCGAGAUGCAGAAUUUAAAGAAAUUCAUAUCCCGAAAUCGAAAAAUAUAUUCCCGGAUCCCGCAAGGGUCAAUCCCCAAAUCCCGAGGUCCCGAAAAAGUCCUGCCUCGAUCCCUCUUAUCCCUACCCUACUUUCUUUUUUGCCAACUCUCUACUUUCAAUUUCAACAAUAAAUUUUAUGCCCCAUCUUUGGGCAUUGUGUUUUCUAGUCUGCGAAUCUGUGCGUUCGUCCGUUUGUUUGUUCGUCCGUCCGUUGCAGAUUGAGGUUUUUGGUCGAGACAUGAUGAUUACUUUAUCAUGGUGGAAGGAAGAAAGCGACACACAAAAUGAGGUUUUCUCGGUUAAUAGCAGUCAUGACAACAAUCAUACAUUGUAGUUGUGCAUUGCUAAUGUUAAGUAUACGCGAUAUUUGUAGUAAAACCUCCAUACUAAAGACUUUCAACAUGAUUUGGAUAUGAAAGAAAAAGAUGUACCUAAAUUUCAAUAUAUUUUUGUAUCAGAGUGCCGAAGGCGCAUCUUUAACAUUUUGAGAGGAAAAUGGAUAUUUUGUUGAAGGGGGGGGGGGGAAUGUGUUGGGUACAUUACUCAUAUUUUUACCUGAGGAAGCUGCUGUUUUUUUUGGAACAUGUCUUACUUGUUUUCUGGUAUGUUGAAUGGGUAGGUAAAAGUAUUGUCAACACCAGUCCUGUGUUUUGUUUAAGACUUAAUGAAACCUGUUUUUAAUUGUUAUUUGUGUCUUCAGUUCGCUGUCUCCUAGGCAUGAACCAUUCAUCUGUUUUAAGACUCUAUGAUUGAUUGAUUGAUUGAUCAUGACUGGCUGAAUGUCCAAUGGCAAAUAUUACAUGCAUAUUCAGGAAGUUGGGAACGAUUCAUGCCAAUCCUGAUAAAAAAUAAAGAAAUAUGCCUGAAGAAAAACAAUAACAGAGUAAGUGUUCCUGCAUUUUAAACUUCAAAUAUUUCUUGUAGAGUGAGAAAAAUGUUAUGAAACACCAGCAAAAAAGACUAGAUUGUUAUUCAGUCCUGACUUAUACAGUGUUUCUGAAGAUGGAGAUUAGGUAUGUAAUAAUGAGUUUUUAAUUUGAUAGAGUGUUGACUUUUAAAUUGUAAAAGUUUAAUGAGUUACUGUACGUUAAUCCCUUUAUUGUAUAAAAAAAAAAUUCAACAAUUACUGUUCAAGUGCAUAGCAUAGCCAUCUUUAUCUUGCUGUAUCCAGAGGCAAUAUAGAUAUAUAAGAAGAUGUGGUAUGGGUGCCAAUGAGACAACUCUCCAUCCAAGUCACAAUUUAUAAAAGUAAAUCAUUAUAGGUCAAAGUACGGACUUCAACACGGAGCAAGACUGUUAUUAAUGACAAUAAAGAGAGUGAAUAUAAACAAAAUAGACAUCAUAAUUUAGAUUAAAAGAAAGACAGACGGUUUCUUCAUCAAAUAUAAUGAAUUUUGGUAUGAUAACUAAAAAUAUUUGAAAUUGUUUUGAAUUUGUCGUUACUUCUUUCAGAUCAGGCCUAUCCAGAAGCAAGA
rnacentral:lncRNA from 1 species